rnacentral:siRNA from 1 species
UAUGAAGAAGAUGGUAUGGCCUA